CGGGGAGAACGGGCACCGGAGGCCGGCAGUUGGAGCGGGAGAGGAGGAGGCAGAGCCCGGCGCCGGAGCCGCGGGGGACAGUUGCCAUGGCGGCGGAAGCCAAGUCUCGGCAAUGAGAGCCUCUUCACUGCGCGGAACUGGCGCGCUCGCCUCCCGACCCGAGCGCAGGAAGCGCGGGGAGAGGAGGCGGUCACCGGGACUCCUGGAGAGAGACACCGACGCGCAGAGACACUGGGAGACAGAGAGACAGAGACAGACAGAGACACAGAGAGGAAGAGACAGAGAUGGAGACAUGCAGAGAGACAAAGACAGAAAGAUAAAGAGAGAGUUAGAAAAAGACAGACAGAAAGAGAUGCAGAGAAACAGACGGGAGACAGAGGCAAAAAGAGAUAUGGAGAGACAAAGAGACAGGUGGAGACAUGCAGACUGACAGAGAUAGAAAGAGACAGAGACAGCGACAGAAAGAGAUGUACAGAGAGACACAGAGAAAAAGAGACACAGAGAAGGAGACAUACAGAGAGACACAGAGAUAUGCAGAGACACAGUAACAGAAAAAAAGAGACACAGAGAUAGAAAGAGACACAAAGACAGAAAGAUAUACAGAGAGAUAGAGACACAGAGAUACAAAGAGACAGAGAGAGACACAGACACAGAAAGAGAUAUGUAGAGAGACAGAAACAUAGAAAGAAACACAGAGAUGGAAAGAUAUACAGAGACACAGAGAUAAAGACACAGAGAGAGAAAGAGAUGCAAAGAGACACAGAGACAGAAAGGACAGAGAGAGUAGACACAGGGACAGAAAAAGAUAGUGACUGAGAGAGACAUACAAAGGGGCAGAAGUAGAAAGAGAUCCAGAAACAGAAAGUUACACAGAGACAGAAGGAGACGCAGAGACAGAAAGAGAUAGAGACAGGAGAGACAGAAACAGAGACAAAGUGACGCAAAGAGACACAGAGAGACCCUCGCCCGCGCUCUCACUUCUGGGGUUUUCUUCAACUGGGGCUUGAAACAAAUCAAAGAGAUUUUCCUGCCACACGUUUCGUAGCUGCCAAGACACAGCAGAACAGGUGAAUCGGGGCCCGAAAGAGGCUCGCAGUUUGGCCGGGCUUGAACCUCUGACGCUGGGGCAGUCUCCCUCUCGUGGGAGACCUCUCCUCUGGGGGGAGGGGGAGUGUUGACUAAAAGGCUCUAGUCCCAAAGGAGGAGACAAAGGUCCCCCCCCAGGCCGGGGCUGAGAGAGAACAUCCCAUUGGAUCACAGCCUGAUACCGCUGCUGGACCCCUCGGGGCCAGAAGGUAACCCCUCCCCCGCUGCUGGACCCCUGGGGCCAGAAGGUAACCCCUCCCCCGCUGCUGGACCCCUGGGGCCAGAAGGUAACCCCUCCCCCGCUGCUGGAUCCCUCGGGGCCAGAAGGUAACCCCUCCCCCGCCGCUGGACCCCUGGGGUCCGUGGGCCCCCACAGUUUCAGUGAUAGCUGCGGCUGGCUCACCCCCUUCCCCGACACCGCCACCCCCAGGGCAGGCCGGCCACCCAGACCAGUGGGAUUGCUGCAGGACAGGGCAGGGAGAGCUCUGCCCCCUAGAGUCUCUCUCCCCUCCAGUCCAGCCUCCACCCAGUCCCUAAAACAGCCUUAAAGCACAGGUCCCACGUUACUCUUUCUCUGGAGCCUCCCCUGGCUCCCCAUCACCUUCAGAAUCCAAUGUAGACUCCCCGGUGUCCCUUCCUACCUGCCCCCCGCUUCUGUCAGUGACACUGGCCCCGGCGCUCCGGGAAUGGAACAUUCUGUCUCUCUGCUUGUCUCCAGGCAGACUCUCCUCCUCAGCCCUGCCCGGCCUCCCUGCGAGCCUCCGGCCGAGUCCCGCCUUCCAUGGGAAGCUUUCCCGGAUCCGGCACCGGCCCCCUUCACUCCAGCGCCAUUCGCACUCGGUCCCCACUCUGCCCUUAGCUCCUCCGUGUGUCUCCUUUGGCCCGGAGUUGGGGGGGCAGGGGGUUCUCUGAAGGCCACUACGUCUCCCCUCCCCUGGGGCCUCCGGGAGCCCCCUCUGGUGUUUCUCUAAGGGGGGGCGCGGAGGGGACACAAGGCCAUGCAGUAAAUGGGCGUUCACUAAAUGGGGGCAGAAGUUACCGACAAAAACUGUGGGGAAACCGGGCAGAGUGGCCCGACCCCUACACGGGGUGCCACGGUCAGGGUGCCACGGUCAGGGUGCGGGCACCCCCGGGGGAUGUGAUUUAGCGUCAGAGGCGAUGCCGCGAGCGAACCGGGGAACCGCCACCUGCCGGGCCGUGGGGAAGGAAGAACUUAGCAAACAAGAAGCAGCAGCACGAGACGUGACGGGGAUAAUUUUGAUUAUGUGAAAUUUAAAAGGUUUUGCACAAACAAAACCAAUGCAACAAAACUAGAAGGAAAGCAGAGAACGGGGAGGGGGUUUUACAGCAAAAAAGCCUCAUCUCUCAAAUAGAGGGAAAACUGGGAUUUAUGGGAAGACAAACGGUUCCCAGCUGAUAAAUGGUCAAGAGAUGGGGAACGGGGGCUCUGACGGGAUGCAGCUGGGAGCUGCCGGGGCUUCCCGAGAAGUCUGCGCCAUUUGGGCUGUAACGCCCGGGCCCUUUGGUCCGGCAGGGGCUGUGCCCCGCAGAGAGCACAGGAAUACGGGCCAGCAUUAAGCGGCUGCUUCGUGGCUGAGAACGGGACACUGAGGAGCCGCCCGUGGCAGCUCACGCUGAGGGAGAUGCUUGUGCCGUGAGAAAUGACCAGCAGGAUGCUUUCAGAAGAAUCCAGAGAGACAGAGACGCAGAGUGGAAUGAAGAAAGAACAUUGCAGAGAAGCCGCGACGUCGCCAGGGGAACUGGGGAGGAUUCGCUUUCCUCCCUGAUAAGAUGUUCCAAGAUGAUCCCAAAGGACUCGUGUGAAAAACAUCUGCUUCCGAGAAAGCACUGACGACAUCUGAACGCAGACAGAAGCAGAUUCUUCUUCUCUUCCUCCUCCCUCCCUCCCUCCCUCCCCCCUCCUUUCCUUCCUUCCUUCCUUCCUUCCUUCCUUCCUUCCUUCCUUCCUUCCUUCCUUCCUUCCUUCCUUCCUUCCUUCCUUCCCUGAGCUUUUCUCCACCAAAUAAUGACCGGGGAUACGUUUGAAAUGAUUGCACAUGUACAAAUUCUAUCAGAUUGCUCACUGACAGGAAGAAAAGGAUAGAAUUUGGAUCUCAAGAUUUAAACCCAAAUGUUAACAUGUGUUUUUACAUGUAACUGGGGAAAAGUAAAAUAUUAUUGACAAUAGAA